CAACUUGUCAACAGGAUGUGUUCGCACUGCUUGUUCUCAGCUUGUUGACAAGUUGUCAACGCCUUGUUGAAAACUUUCUACAAGGUUGUUGAACUCAACAGACUUGUUACAAGUUGUUCCAACAACUUGUUAUCGUCCUGCAAUUCAACAACUUGUCAACAAGUUGUGAGUGACAACCUUGUAGCAACUUGAUAAAAUAACAGCAUUGCUACAACUUGUUGACAAGCU